UACAGAGGUCCCGAGCGUUGUUCGGAUUCACUGGGCGUAAAGGGUGCGUAGGUGGUGAGGUAAGUCUGAUGUGAAAUCCCGCAGCUCAACUGCGGAACUGCAUCGGAUACUAUCUUGCUAGAGGGUUUGAGGGGGGACUGGAAUUCUCGGUGUAGCAGUGAAAUGCGUAGAUAUCGAGAGGAACACCAGUGGCGAAGGCGAGUCCCUGGAAAACUCCUGACACUGAGGCACGAAAGCUAGGGGAGCAAACAGG
rnacentral:rRNA from 1 species